CAAUAGCGUAUAUUAAAGUUGUUGCAGUUAAAAAGCUCGUAGUUGAAUUUUUGCUUGCCGCCGAUGUCGGAACUUCCGUACGUUCGGCGGCGUGCAUCCUUGGGUGGAACCUGUGUGGCAUUAGGUUGUCGUGCAGGGGAUGCUCAUCGUUUACUGUGAAAAAAUUAGAGUGUUCAAAGCUGGCUUACGCCGUUGAAUAUAUUAGCAUGGAAUAAUAAGAUAGGACCUUGGUACUAUUUUGUUGGUUUGCGCACCGAGGUAAUGACUAACAGGGACAGUUGGGGGUAUUCGUAUUCCAUUGUCAGAGGUGAAAUUCUUGGAUUUCUGGAAGACGAACUACUGCGAAAGCAUUUACCAAGGAUGUUUUCAUUAA
rnacentral:rRNA from 1 species